GUGGAAGGGAAUCCACCGGCCCGAAACGCAGCUUUGAAAUCAAAGUCUUUGCCAUAUAGAAGUACAGAAGUGAAUGGCUUGGAGAGCUGACCAAUGGCUGCUGACACACCAGCUGCAAUCAAUACCUUGUUUUGAGCGAUUCCAGCAAUAUCCUCAAGACCCACGUUGAGGAAGCAACUGAAUUUACUACUGGUGCUUGUCUUACAUGACUUGCUGGGCAUUCCAAGAAGAGGAAGACUGAACUUAUAAUUGGCAUUGUAAUUGCAAGAUUGGUGGUGGGGUUUGGAAUCUGAAAGAGAUAACAAAAAGUUAUGAGAGAACAGCGCAGUCGAUUUUGGAUAAGAAGCGUAACUCCAACACUGCAGUACCAUUUUUCGUCACUCUCUCUCUAAUUGACCACCACCCAACUAGGCUCUU
rnacentral:misc_RNA from 1 species